ACCGGGUUAGAGAAGUCUGGUAAUCUCAUCAUCUUCAUAAGUUGAAAAUCCUGGGUUCAAAUCCCAGACCCGGCA
rnacentral:tRNA from 1 species